rnacentral:sRNA from 1 species
CCUCAUCGACCUGCUGGGGGCAGAUGUAGUGCACGUGCGCGUCGAGGGCGCCCGCGGUGACGAUAAGCUUCUCGCCGGCGAUGACUUCGGUAGAGGAGCCGAUGAUGAGGGAGGGGUGAACGUUGGCCAUGACGUCCGGGUUGCCUGCUUUGCCGAUGCCCACGAUGAUGCCGUUCUUGACGCCGAUGUCUGCCUGGGGAUGUGGAUGUAAGAUAGGUGUUGUUCUGAGGUUGUGAAAUCCGUACCUUAUAGAUUCCGGACCAGUCGACGAUGAGGGCGUUGGUGAUAACAAGGUCCAAGGUCUCCUCAGACGACCGGUUGGUAGCCUGCCCCAUACCCUCACG